rfam:Ictidomys tridecemlineatus contig074494, whole genome shotgun sequence.
GGGGUUGUGGCUCAGUGGUAGAGCGCUUGCCCCUCACAUAUGAGGCCCUGAGUUUGAUCCUCAGCACCCCA